rnacentral:rRNA from 1 species
GAUGAACGCUAGCGGCAGGCUUAAUACAUGCAAGUCGAGGGGCAGCAGCUUUGUAGCAAUACAGGGGCUGGCGACCGGCAAACGGGUGCGGAACACGUACGCAACCUUCCUUUAACUGGAAGAUAGCCCACCGAAAGGUGGAUUAAUACUCCAUAACAUAUUGAAGAGGCAUCUCUUUGAUAUUAAAGCUCCGGCGGUUAAAGAUGGGCGUGCGUCUGAUUAGGUAGUUGGCGGGGUAACGCCCACCAAGCCUUCGAUCAGUAGCUGAUGUGAGAGCAUGAUCAGCCACGCGGGCACUGAGACACGGGCCCGACUCCUACGGGAGGCAGCAGUAAGGAAUAUUGGUCAAUGGACGCAAGUCUGAACCAGCCAUGCCGCGUGGAGGAUGAAGGCCCUCUGGGUUGUAACUUCUUUGAUAGGGACAAAUGCCACUUGCGAGUGAGCUGAGUGUACCUAUAGAAUAAGCACCGGCUAACUCCGUGCCAG